rnacentral:rRNA from 1 species
AUUGAACGCUGGCGGCAGGCCUAACACAUGCAAGUCGAGCGGAGCGGCGGACGGGUGAGUAAUGCCUAGGAAUCUGCCUGGUAGUGGGGGAUAACGUCAGGAAACGGGCGCUAAUACCGCAUAAUAUCAGAUGAGCCUAGGUCGGAUUAGCUAGUUGGGGGGGUAAAGGCCUACCAAGGCGACGAUCCGUCACUGGUCUGAGAGGAUGAUCAGUCAAACUGGAACUGAGAAACGGCCCAGACUCUUACGGGAGGAAGCAGUGGGGAAUAUUGGACAAUGGGCGAAAGCCUGAUCCAGCAAGGCCGCGGGGGUGAAGAAGGUCUUCGGAUUGUAAAGCACUUUAAGUUGGGAGGCGUUACCAACAUAAUAAGCACCGGCUAACUUCGUGCCAGCAGCCGCGGUAAUUC